rnacentral:rRNA from 1 species
UACGAAGGGGGCUAGCGUUGUUCGGAAUUACUGGGCGUAAAGCGCACGUAGGCGGUUCGUUAAGUCAGGGGUGAAAUCCCAGAGCUCAACUCUGGAACUGCCUUUGAUACUGGCGACCUAGAGUCCGGAAGAGGUUAGUGGAAUUCCCAGUGUAGAGGUGAAAUUCGUAGAUAUUGGGAAGAACACCAGUGGCGAAGGCGGCUAACUGGUCCGGUACUGACGCUGAGGUGCGAAAGCGUGGGGAGCAAACAGG